CGGCGUGCUUAGAAUGCAAGUCGAACGGCCUAGCUUGCUAGGCAGUGGCGCACGGGUGAGUAACACGUGACUGACCUACCCCGAAGUUCUGAAUAACCUGGCGAAAGUCGGGCUAAUACAGGAUGCGCAGUAUCGCUUUGGCGAUACUGCAAAGAUUUAUCGCUUUGGGAUGGGGUUGCGUUCCAUCAGCUUGUUGGUAGGGUAAAGGCCUACCAAGGCGACGACGGAUAGCCGGCCUGAGAGGGUGGCCGGCCACAGGGGCACUGAGACACGGGUCCCACUCCUACGGGAGGCAGCAGUUAGGAAUCUUCCACAAUGGGCGAAAGCCUGAUGGAGCGACGCCGCGUGAGGGAUGACGGUCUUCGGAUUGUAAACCUCUGAACUAGGGACGAAAGACACGCAAGUGGGAUGACGGUACCUAGGUAAUAGCACCGGCUAACUCCGUGCCAGCAGCCGCGGUAAUACGGAGGGUGCGAGCGUUACCCGGAAUCACUGGGCGUAAAGGGCGCGUAGGCGGCAUGUUAAGUCUGGUUUUAAAGACA
rnacentral:rRNA from 1 species